UACGGAGGGGGCAAGCGUUGUUCGGAAUUAUUGGGCGUAAAGAGUAUGUAGGCGGCUAUUUAAGUCAGGCGUGCAAGCCCACGGCUCGACCGUGGAAUUGCGUUUGAAACUAUUUAGCUUGAGUACAGGAGAGGAAGGCGGAAUUCCCAGUGUAGCGGUGAAAUGCAUUGAUAUUGGGAAGAACACCGGUGGCGAAGGCAGCCUCCUGGAUCUGUACUGACACUGAGGUGCGAAAGCGUGGGUAGCGAACAGG
rnacentral:rRNA from 1 species